CAGUAGCCGCGGUAAUACGUAGGGUGCGAGCGUUAAUCGGAAUUACUGGGCGUAAAGCGUGCGCAGGCGGUUAUGUAAGACAGUUGUGAAAUCCCCGGGCUCAACCUGGGAACUGCAUCUGUGACUGCAUAGCUAGAGUACGGUAGUGGGGGAUGGAAUUCCGCGUGUAGCAGUGAAAUGCGUAGAUAUGCGGAGGAACACCGAUGGCGAAGGCAAUCCCCUGGACCUGUACUGACGCUCAUGCACGAAAGCGUGGGGAGCAAACAGGAUUAGAUACCCCAGUAGUCCCUGUCUCUUAUAA
rnacentral:rRNA from 1 species